UACAGAGGGGGCAAGCGUUGCUCGGAAUUACUGGGCGUAAAGGGCGCGUAGGCGGUCUGUUUAGUCAGAGGUGAAAGCCCAGGGCUCAACCUUGGAAUUGCCUUUGAUACUGGCUGUCUUGAGUUCGGGAGAGGUGAGUGGAAUGCCGAGUGUAGAGGUGAAAUUCGUAGAUAUUCGGCGGAACACCAGUGGCGAAGGCGACUCACUGGCCCGAUACUGACGCUGAGGCACGAAAGCGUGGGGAGCAAACAGG
rnacentral:rRNA from 1 species